CGAGUGCUGACAGGGGUGCCUGGUGAUCGGACUGCUCAAAGUGGUAGGUGCGGAAGAACGGCGCAGCUUCGUCUGAAAGUUCUUCAGCGGCACCUUACAGCCUAAGCCCCUGCCUAUGACCCAGGAAGCCCACUCAAGGCAGAGGAGAGCCCUGCAAUACAUCCAAGCAGAGAUACAGAAAGAAAGAAGGUGGAGUCAGAGAGAUAUCAGCAACCACCAGAGAAGCAAGAUUUGAGAAUUGAACGGCACUACAAGAAUGAUUUCUCGAAAGACAGAUUUGCCCUAUUCCGUGCACCAAUGCUGCUGAGCUAAAUGAACUUGGGUAAGGGAAAGAGGCGGAUGAAUGGUCUUAAAGUGACCAGCGAGCUUGCUUCAGAUUCCGCUUGAAAGAGGCUAGUAACCUGCAGUUCUUUCCCAGAAGGCUCCAAAGAGACCACAGCCUCCUCCAUUUCCCACCUCUGGAUCCACUGGGCAGAGGACGUCAAAACUAUGUGGCUAUCAGAGACACCGCUGUUCUCAGGUGGGCAGGAGACUUGAUCCUGAGCCGACUUAUGCCGAGAGACACAUGGGACUGCCCCCAGAGCUCUGUUGAUGUUCCAGGCACUGGAAGAAAUCAAAGCCACCUGACAUAAAGCAAACUUCACUGCCUCUUCACAGAGAUAAAGGGAAAACUUACAAAAGGAGAGAUUUGCAGACAACCAACAGGAAUUGAAAAAAGUCGUGACUGUGACAUCUGCUGGGAAGCCACCAGGAAGUGAAGAGCUACAGCCCACGUCAAAUCUUAUGCAUCUGAAGAAUGUGAAACUUCCUUCCUUCCUUCCUCAUCCCCAGAUGGCUUAGAAACAAAACAGCGUGCCUUUUGUAGGAAACAAAAAAGCCUAAGAAGAAAUGUUAAUAGGAUGACUGCAAAGAUUAUAAAUACUUCUCAGCUAUAUAAAUAUGAACUGAGUGAAUAAAACAUGUUAAAUUC